UACGGAGGGUGCAAGCGUUAUCCGGAUUUACUGGGUUUAAAGGGUGCGUAGGUGGCGGGGUAAGUCAGGUGUGAAAUCUCGGGGCUCAACCCCGAAACUGCACUUGAUACUGCCUUGCUCGAGUACUGGAGAGGAGAUUGGAAUUUACGGUGUAGCAGUGAAAUGCGUAGAUAUCGUAAGGAAGACCAGUGGCGAAGGCGAAUCUCUGGACAGUUACUGACACUGAGGCACGAAGGCCAGGGGAGCAAACGGG
rnacentral:rRNA from 1 species